ACUCCUACGGGAGGCAGCAGUGGGGAAUAUUGCACAAUGGGCGCAAGCCUGAUGCAGCCAUGCCGCGUGUGUGAAGAAGGCCCUUCGGGUUGUAAAGCACUUUCAGUUGUGAGGAAAGGUUAGAUCGCUAAUCAUCGGCUGAGCUGUGACGUUAGCAACAGAAGAAGCACCGGCUAACUCCGUGCCAGCAGCCGCGGUAAUACGGAGGGUGCGAGCGUUAAUCGGAAUUACUGGGCGUAAAGCGUGCGCAGGCGGUCUGUUAAGCGAGAUGUGAAAGCCCC
rnacentral:rRNA from 1 species